rnacentral:misc_RNA from 1 species
UAGCGAGCGAGAGGAGUGAACGCACGCUGAACGGCGGAACGCGGAACGGAACACAACACGGAGGAGAUGUUUUGAGGCGAAGAGAGACACACCAACUUUUGAAUUAACCUCGAAAACCACACGAACUACAUCACCACGAGCGACCAGACGACCAGGGACGAGUGAGGAGAGGACGACCACCACCUGCACACCCUGACGAGGCUCAAGAUGGCGGGAGGAAGUGGCCAGGCUUGGGUGAAAUACGGGUGGUGAGAGAAUUUAGAUCGCCUGGAGUGAAUGGCGAGGAAUUCUUUAAUGAUGGUGUAGCGGGGCCGCCAUGAAGAACAAGACUGAGGUAUCGAGGACAGAUGUGUGCGUCAGAGUGGUCAAGGGCGCGCUGGAGGCCGUCACGGGGGUCAAUGACAAGAUACCCGCCUCUCCCUCCCCGCUCUCUCCCUCCACGCCUCUCCCUUCGCCUCUCUCUCCCUCCACCCCUGCAAAGAUUAAAUGCGAGAGCCCCACUGUGUUCCUCGGCGCCCACACCCCGCCCCCCACCGGCCCGGGCGCGGAGGUGCGGGGCAAGCCUGGCACCCCCAUAGCCAGUGCCAGCUCCAAGGCUGCCGCCAGACCCAACAGUGCCAAUAGUGCCGCCGAGGACAAGGCAGCAGGCGGCGCUGGUGGUGGUAGACUUACCUUCUUCAAGGAGGGCAAGUUCCUGUUGGAGUUGUCUCACCGCACAGAGAUGGGUGCACCGGCGGGCUGGGUGCCGGUGAAGAGCAAGACAUACUGGCCGCCACCUUCCUCCACCACCACCACCACCACCCAGCACCCCCUGCGCCAUGACACACCCACCUCGCAGUCCGUGUCAGAUGACUGUUCCUCCCUCAACUCGUCGCCGUGGACCAGCGAUCACAUCAGGAAGCAGCCAUUGCCCCGCCCUGCCCGAGGCCCCGCUGCCCCUGCCCAGGCUGCCACCUUCUGGUUUCACUGCCCCCCUGAGGCCCGGGCACAGCGGCGGAGACUCCCCGUGGGGCGGCGGCGGCGGAACCCUCUGCUGCAGGCCGCCCCGGGUGAGAAGGUGGCAGAGAAGACAGCCAAAGUGGAGAGCAAGGUGGAUGGUGAGCGGAAGGUGAAGGUGGAGGGGGAGGGAGCGGUGGGCAAGGGGGCAGCCCGGCUGGAGAAGCUGGUGCGGCUGCUGUGGGUGGGGCUGCGGGUGGAGGCCGAUGUGAGUCUCCACAACGCGCUGGAACAGCGGGGCGGAGGUGGCGGGGGCGGCGGCGAGGCCCUGGAUCCCACCUUUGUGUCGCCCCGCAAGCGCUACCUCCGCCAGAUGGAGACAGACCAGGAUGUGCCCACUGCCCUGCACCGCAAGAAGCUCCAUGCGGCGGGGCUGCCCCAGGCCCCGGGGGAUAGGCCGGCAGGCAUGGCACAAAUCCCCACCACCUCAUCGUCCUCCUCCUCUGCCUCCCCGUACCCCUCCUCCCUGUCCUCGCCAGGCCCUGCCUCGCACCGCGGCGGGGCGAGUGUGCUGGCCCCAUCUGUGUACAGCAUUGACUCUAUCCUCAACCACGAGGGGGCGGGAGGUGGGGCAGGGGUUGGGAUUGGCACCGCCACUAGUCGCCAGGGUGACUCCUUCCUCCGCACGCUGCUCAAGCCAGAGGUGAAGGCUGCCCCGCCCCGGGCCAGGGAGCGGCCCCCAGAUCCUCCCCACCCUCCCUCAGUGAAAGCAGAGCGGGACCAGUCGGGGCCGGACCGGGGUGACGCCCUGCUGGAAAUGAACCGCCGUCCCUCGCCAGAGCGGUACGACCUGUCCCGGUAUGGCCCAGUAGCUGGCCUGUAUCCCCUGGGGCCCUACAUGGACCCCCGCUACAUGCUGAUGCACUCCCUGGCACCCGGUCUGGUGGGGCCUGCCGCCGCUGCUGCUGCCGCACAGUCUUCAGACAUGGCCCAGGCUCUGGCUGCUGCCACGGCCGCUGCUGCUGCUGCUGCCAGCCUGGGCACCUACCCCAUUGGCCCCCUGCCACCGCCGCUGCCUGGGGCACAGUACUACUAUCCCCCCACCUCCGUGGCUGCCCAGCUGCUGCGCCAGCCCUCCCUGGCCUCCCGCUGCUCCCCCCAUCCCCCGGCCUCCCCUAGCCCCAAGACACACCAGUACCCUCCCCCGACCCCUGCCUCACCCCAUCUUAGCCGGGGUGCCAGUCCUAGGGGCCGUGCCUCUCCCUGGCAGCCUCCCCCUCCCCCUGCCCACCCACUAUCCCCUCAUCCCUCCCUGGCCUCCCCCCUCCCAUCACCACCACCACAAGAUGCACCGCUCAACUUGUCCAAACCAAGGAACCACUUAGGGAAGUAGUGGGUGUGGCGGAAGCUGCGGCCCACACCAGGACGGGAGCUGAGGGGCCACACAGGAAAGCUGGAGCGAAGCCAAGGAAGAGAGAAGAGGACAGCGAGCAGGUGUGGUGUGGUAUGGUGUGGUGCCUGGAGGCCCCUGGGGUGCCGCACCGUCACCUCCCUGGGGUAGCGCAAGACGGACUGGCAGCAGCUCUCGCCCGUCACCGCCAGUCGUACCUCACAGCGUACGUCAGCUGGCCUGGGAAACCUGGAGGAGAACUCACAAUACACACAUCAUCAUCUUCCCUUCCUUGCUCUCGGCCAAUCAACCAGAGACUCACCCUGACCUCACUGCAUUGCCUCAGCUUGUCAGGCACCAGAUGGGUAUGGCAGUGUGCUACAGAGACAAAGAGAGCCUAUAUGUGUGUGUGUGUUUGUGUGUGUUGGAGGCCACGGAAAGCUUAUGUGUAUGAUAGAGAUGGGACUUAGGUGUGUGUGUGUGUGUGGGGGGAGGAAGAGGCCAGAAAAUGCAUUUGUGUAUGAGAGAAUGGGAGCUUGUGUGUGUGUGUGUGUUUGAGGGGCAGAAGAGUGUGUGCGUGUGCAUUUGUGUGUCAGAUGGAAAGAGAUACAUUUUUUGUGGAUGUGUGUGACAGAUGGGUGAAAGCUUGUCUGUGUGUGUGUGUGUGUGUCAUUUUCAAGUCAGGUUCAAGGGCUUUGGCGACAAACUUCAUUCUGAGACGCAACGCUUGAGUCACAUUUGGAAGCUCUUGGCACAGCAGGGGUUGGUGGAGAGAGUGUGUCUACCUCAGGCGCUCACGUGAUGGAGAUCUUGAGUGGUGGAGUGUUUAUCAAGGAUCCCUGUGUGUGUUUGGAGGGCCCUGUGUUUGUGGGGAGGGCAAUUUUGUGUGUUUGGAGGCCCACUGUGUAUAUUUGUAAGGCUCUGUGUAUGUAAGGAGGCAUUUGUGUGUGUUUGAAGGGUCAUUCUGUGUGUUUGUAGGUUCCUGUGUUUGUGUGGAAGGCCCUUUGUGUGUUUGGAGGGUCGUGUGUGCAUGUUUGGAGGGCCUUUGUGUGUGUGUGAGUAGCUGCAUUGUGUUUGUAUGGCCUCUGUGUGUGGGUGUGGGUGUGUGGGUGUAUGUGUGUGUGUGUGUGUGUGUGUGUGCUGUUGCCUUGUCCCAGUUUCUCUUGCAAGGUUCAGAAGUAUUGGGGUUGCUACAGAAAAGAUCAUUGUAAAGUUAUCAUUUUCUCUCCAACUUGCCUUUCUUUCUCUCGUCCUCUUCUUUCUCAUAUUUGAAACACACAUACAUAGCUUGCCUUGAUCUUCCUUUCCUUCACCUUAUAUUUAAAACACACACAC